GGAUUGGAGUCUGCAACUCGACUCCAUGAAGUCGGAAUCGCUAGUAAUCGUGGAUCAGCAUGCCACGGUGAAUACGUUCCCGGGUCUUGUACACACCGCCCGUCACACCAUGGGAGCUGGUAACACCCGAAGUCAGUAGUCUAACCGCAAGGAGGACGCUGCCGAAGGUGGGAUUAGCGACUGGGGUGAAGUCGUAACAAGGUAGC
rnacentral:rRNA from 1 species